UACGUAGGGUGCGAGCGUUGCCCGGAUUUAUUGGGCGUAAAGGGCGCGUAGGCGGCCACGCACGUCCGUUGUGAAAUCGCCCGGCUCAACUGGGCGGGGUCAGCGGAUACGGUGUGGCUAGAGCAAGCUAGGGGGCAAUGGAAUUCCCGGUGUAGUGGUGGAAUGCGUAGAUAUCGGGAGGAACACCAGUGGCGAAGGCGGUUGCCUGGAGCUUUGCUGACGCUGAUGCGCGAAGGCGUGGGGAGCGAUCCGG
rnacentral:rRNA from 1 species